AAGGGGGAACCUGACGGGAGAUCAUUA
rnacentral:rRNA from 1 species